CCUACGGGAGGCAGCAGUGAGGAAUAUUGGUCAAUGGGCUUACGCCUGAACCAGCCAAGUCGCGUGAGGGAAGACUGCCCUAUGGGUUGUAAACCUCUUUUGUCAGGGAGCAACGCCGGCUACGUGUAGGCGGACUGAGAGUACCUGAAGAAAAAGCAUAGGCUAACUCCGUGUCAGCAGCCGCGGUAAUACGGAGGAUGCGAGCGUUAUCCGGAUUUAUUGGGUUUAAAGGGUGCGUAGGCGGAAUGCCAAGUCAGCGGUAAAAUCGCGGGGCUCAACCUCGCUCCGCCGUUGAAACUGGCGUUCUUGAGUGGGCGAGAAGUAUGCGGAAUGCGUGGUGUAGCGGUGAAAUGCAUAGAUAUCACGCAGAACUCCGAUUGCGAAGGCAGCAUACCGGCGCCCAACUGACGCUGAAGCACGAAAGCGUGGGUAUCGAACAGGAUUAGAUACCCUUGUAGUC
rnacentral:rRNA from 1 species